rnacentral:rRNA from 1 species
GACGAACGCUGGCGGCGUGCUUAACACAUGCAAGUCGAACGGAAAGGCCCUGCUUUUGUGGGGUGCUCGAGUGGCGAACGGGUGAGUAACACGUGAGUAACCUGCCCUUGACUUUGGGAUAACUUCAGGAAACUGGGGCUAAUACCGGAUAGGAGCUCCUGCUGCAUGGUGGGGGUUGGAAAGUUUCGGCGGUUGGGGAUGGACUUGCGGCUUAUCAGCUUGUUGGUGGGGUAGUGGCUUACCAAGGCUUUGACGGGUAGCCGGCCUUAGAGGGUGACCGGCCACAUUGGGACUGAGAUACGGCCCAGACUCCUACGGGAGGCAGCAGUGGGGAAUAUUGCACAAUGGGCGGAAGCCUGAUGCAGCAACGCCGCGUGCGGGAUGACGGCCUUCGGGUUGUAAACCGCUUUCGCCUGUGACGAAGCGUGAGUGACGGUAAUGUGUAAAGAAGCACCGGCUAACUACGUG